rnacentral:tRNA from 1 species
UGUGGCUCAAUGGUAGAGCACUUGCCUAGCAUGUGUGAGGCACUGGGUUCAAUUCUCAGCA